UUUAAAUUAAAAUUUAACAUUCCUUUUACACACUAAUAACACUAAUAACACUAAUAAUUGAGCACGUUGACAUGUAGCAUCUCACUUUGCAUCAUUUGCCGUUGAGGAGUCAUAGGCCUUCCUUUCAAAACCAUAACGAUUCUGGUCCAGAUUGUUAUGGCACCCUCUUGGCGCGAGCCUGUACCCUUCGGAAUGAAUGAUGGAUUUGAGUUUCCUGCAAUGACAGCAUUUCAAUUACCCACAGAGCUUACACCUGCCCUAAAUCCUGCUACAGCCGAUCCAGCCAGGGUUCAGAAUGUCAUCCAGGAAAUUAUGCCCCUUGGUGUUGUCCCACUUAAUCUGGCGAACAAUGUUGCAGAGGCCCUUGUUUUUGGGAUCCAAUCUGCCCUUGCCUUGCAACGCAUAAGAAUGUAAUCCAGUAAUUAAAAAAAAAAGAGUUAAUAAAUCUAAAUUCUUUUGGAGAUU